CCUACGGGUGGCAGCAGUAGGGAAUCUUCGGCAAUGGGGGCAACCCUGACCGAGCAACGCCGCGUGAGUGAAGAAGGUUUUCGGAUCGUAAAGCUCUGUUGUAAGUCAAGAACGAGUGUGAGAGUGGAAAGUUCACACUGUGACGGUAGCUUACCAGAAAGGGACGGCUAACUACGUGCCAGCAGCCGCGGUAAUACGUAGGUCCCGAGCGUUGUCCGGAUUUAUUGGGCGUAAAGCGAGCGCAGGCGGUUUGAUAAGUCUGAAGUUAAAGGCUGUGGCUCAACCAUAGUUCGCUUUGGAAACUGUCAAACUUGAGUGCAGAAGGGGAGAGUGGAAUUCCAUGUGUAGCGGUGAAAUGCGUAGAUAUAUGGAGGAACACCGGUGGCGAAAGCGGCUCUCUGGUCUGUAACUGACGCUGAGGCUCGAAAGCGUGGGGAGCGAACAGGAUUAGAUACCCGGGUAGUC
rnacentral:rRNA from 1 species